rnacentral:miRNA from 1 species
UUGAUGUCCACUGUGACCAUAG